GCUUAGAUGCCGCCAUUUCACAUGAAAGCAGCGCGGUAGGGAUGACGACUAGUGCAAAACAAUUAAAAACACCAGCUAGAAUUUGAACCAAAUUCGCCAACUGGAGAUUUAUAAACUAACAGCAACCGUUUACUUAACAAUAGGGCCUAACGAGUUUCGACUUAACAGUCCGGCUGUCUUGCUAGGAGACGAAAACAUGAGCUACGGAAGGGCGCCGCCAGACGUUGAGGGUAUGACCUCCCUGAAAGUGGACAACCUGACUUACCGAACUUCGCCGGAGACUCUGCGCCGAGUUUUUGAGAAGUACGGCCGUGUGGGAGAUGUGUAUAUCCCCCGAGACAGGUACACCAAGGAGAGCCGCGGGUUCGCCUUUGUGCGGUUCCUCGACAAGCGCGACGCCGAGGACGCCAUGGAUGCUAUGGACGGAGCGCUGCUUGACGGGCGGGAGCUUCGGGUGCAGAUGGCCCGCUACGGACGACCUCCGGACUCCAUGUACAGCAGGAGAGGUGCUCCGCCACGCAGAUACGGAGGCGGGUACGGCGGACGCAGAAGCAGGAGCCGUUCAGGAAGCCCUCGUCGCCGCAGACGUAGCCGCAGCCGCUCCAGGAGCAGAAGCCGUUCUCGAUCUAGGAGCCACCACCACUACAGCCGCUCCAGGUCUCACUCUGACUCCAGAUCUAGGUCCAAGUCUAAAUCCAAGUCCAGGACCCCCAGACGGAGCAAGACAAAGUCUCCCUCCAGGUCUCGGUCCUCCAAGUCAAGGAGUCGAACCCCGCCUUCCAACAGAGGGUCCAAAUCCAGGUCCCGCUCCAAAUCCAAGAGUAGGCCUAAAUCUCCAGAGGACAACGAGGCAAUGACUUAAUCCAGACAUGGACACAACAUGACGGUAUUCAUGGGAAAGGGUGGAUUAUAUUAUUUGCUUCAAAUAUAUGAGAUGGCUAUCUGUCAUCACUUGGGUUAUUAUUCUGCAGGCUUGGUGCUAUUAACAGUCAUUUGCACACAAGCAACAAAGUCUGCAGAAUCCUGAAUAUUUUAUUUAAAAUAAGAUUGGGGCUGAUCUAGUCAACAGUCCUAGUUCUGUGUGUCCUUUACUUUGCGUGUACGUUCAGCAAAUCCAAAGCGCACACAGACAUGAGAUUUGGGUUAAUGUGACCUACAGUAUACUUUAAAAUGGGGAAUGUAUGGGAGGGUUCUUCACUCAAAACGUUCACCUAAAUGUGGAAUUUUUUCCUCCAAGCUGCUGAGUCCUGUUUGCAAAGAGAGGAGGAGGAGAUGGGGGUGUGGCAGUGUGAGAGCAGUUAGUGUGUGACCCGCCCAUGUGACCUGCCUGUUGCUGAGAGCGAUGGCAGUUGCUAAGAAGCAGGUCACCAAGGCAACGGUGGUUGCUAUGGAGCAGGUCGUCAUGGCGGUGGUUCGGGCUGUCAGUUGGUGUAUGAGGUGGUGUGGUGAGGUACGUUCGCGGGAAUCACAGGCAGAUGCACUGAGCACUGUUCCCACCUGUGCCUGUGGGUUCCUCCGCCUCUCACAAAGGGAACCGAGAUCUCAGAUGAUUGAGCCUUUGCUGAGGACAUCAGGAAGAGUCUCACAUUGAGCAAGUGGACUCCACUAUUACCACUGAAUGCAGACUGAAAGGUUAUUGGAGUUUGGUCUAAAAUGUUUUAAAUUUGACUUAAGUUAACAUAAACAAAUUCUGUGACUUUGAUGUGAUCAUUGUUUGUAAAGUUGAGCUUUUUGAAAAGAAUGUUAGAUUUUUUUUUUUCUCAAUUAAAUUGGGUUUUUUAUAUUUUGAUUACAUGUGUACUUUUUUUUUUUUUUAAUUACCAUAGAUUUAUUUUAAUAAAAUCCCUUGUUUAACACUUUCUAGAUGGAUAUGAGUUUUAUUUGCAGGGUGUCAUGUUGGAUGUUCAAAGCCUUGACAGCUAUGUUAUACCACUCUUUUUUUCUUUUGAAAAAUGGCCCACUGUUUAGUGACAUAAAAGCAAAACA